GACGAACGCUGGCGGCGUGCUUAACACAUGCAAGUCGAACGGAAAGGCCCUGCUUGCAGGGUACUCGAGUGGCGAACGGGUGAGUAACACGUGGGUGAUCUGCCCUGCACUUCGGGAUAAGCCUGGGAAACUGGGUCUAAUACCGGAUAGGAGCCAUUUUUAGUGUGAUGGUUGGAAAGUUUUUUCGGUGUAGGAUGAGCUCGCGGCCUAUCAGCUUGUUGGUGGGGUAAUGGCCUACCAAGGCGGCGACGGGUAGCCGGCCUGAGAGGGUGGACGGCCACAUUGGGACUGAGAGACGGCCCAGACUCCUACGGGAGGCAGCAGCGGGGAAUAUUGCACAAUGGGCGCAAGCCUGAUGCAGCGACGCCGCGUGGGGGAUGACGGCCUUCGGGUUGUAAACUCCUUUCGCUAGGGACGAAGCUUUUUGUGACGGUACCUAGAUAAGAAGCACCGGCUAACUACGUG
rnacentral:rRNA from 1 species